UGAACGACUCUCGGCAACGGAUAUCUCGGCUCACGCAUCGAUGAAGAACGUAGCAAAAUGCGAUACUUGGUGUGAAUUGCAGAAUCCCGUGAACCAUCGAGUUUUUGAACGCAAGUUGCGCCCGAAGCCAUCCGGUUGAGGGCACGUCUGCCUGGGCGUCACGC
rnacentral:rRNA from 2 species